ACACAUGGAAGCAGAUCCACCGAAGGUAGCUACACGCACACACACACACACACACACACACACACAAAGCUGCCUCAUCAUACAGUAGAUCAGUGUUAGAAAACCGCAAUGCAGAGCCUCCUCCUCCACUCCACUCUGAUUUAAAAAAAAAAAAAAAAAAAAACUAAAUAAAAAAAAAACACUGGCAUGAAGUUGAGUGGAGCUGAUGCAGACACAACAACUAAACAAGAGAUGCCAAAACCUUUCCUCCACACAUACACAUACACAGACACACACCUCUCCUCCUCCUUCUCCACCUCCGCAUCCUCCUCCUCUCUCUCUAUACAGCCGAAAGCCAGAGCAGACAGAUAAGCAGGCGGCCAGAGACGGACUAAUCCUCCCACAGUGAGAGACGUUUUGGAUGGAAGGUGAUGAAAAUCAAACUGAACUGACAGAGAAAGAGAGGAUGAGCAAAGAAGAGAGAGAGGCUGGAUGGGGAGGGACGGAAGGCUAAAGGGUAAAAGUAAAGCGAGGAUGCAGAUUAGCAAAAGUUUCUCUCAUCGUCUGACUGAGGCUGAUGUAGGUCAGUGCGUCUGGAGCCUGUCUGGAGCUGCAGAGAGCCUUAGAGCCUAGUCCUCAUCGACCCCCGUGAAGGCUGCCUCCGCCGCCCGAGCUGAGGACAGUGCUUACUGGGCUAUGUGAGGACAGGAUCGCCACCGCCUGACCUGACUUGCCCUGGAGUAGGAUGUGCUUGCCGUAUGAGUAGAAGAGGAGGGGGAAAAGAGGAAGCAGGAGAAGGGGGGUAUGCAGGGUGAAACUAUGUAGUCUGUGUACUUCAUGAGAGCUUAUUUAGUAUAUGUUGUUGCAAACGAAUGACACAGCAAGGCAGAGCAGACCGUAAAUAUGCAGGAGGUUGAGGGGAUACGAGCAUCACCAUUGGGUUUCCAUCUUCUAGGUUUUGUGGGAAAAUGUUCAUGUAAUGCCGCCUUUACAACCCCUGUCAAACACUCACUCUAUACUCUGUCUUCACAUCUCUUUUCUCGCAGCCUAACCUCAUCAUGAUGUGUUAUGCAGUUCUUUUACUGCCAUCGCCAUUUCUGCAAAAACUACAGCGACCCAGCAAACUCCAGACUCCAUAACAAAGCGUUAACAGCUGUGUCCGUUCUUUCUUCUCUUGCAGCAUUUUCAUUGCCAUAUUGUUCCUUACAGAUGCAGUGUCCCGCAUCCCAAAAAGGCGGAUCAACCACAAGUGUCCUCCAACUCUUGUAUCCCCACGUCCCGUUUGACAGAGACCAACAAGCGCAUGGAUGAUGACUUUUCCAAACGUGCAUAAAGCUCCGUUGACGACUUCAGCAUCUUCUUAUUCUGCUCUCCUUCUUCUCUGCUUUCAUUCUCCACUCCUUCUCACUCCUCUGGCUUUUAGACAAUACCACCCCCCCACCCCAAAAAAAACAAAAAAAACAAAAAAUGAUCGUUCUAU